rnacentral:rRNA from 1 species
GAUGAACGUUGGCGGCGUGCCUAACACAUGCAAGUCGAACGAAAGUAGCAAUACUUUAGUGGCGCACGGGUGAGUAACACGUAGCUUACCUCCCUCUCAGCGCGGGAUAACGACUCGAAAGAGUUGCUAAUACCGCAUAAGCUCACGGGUUCUAGAGACUUGUGAGAAAAGGUGCAAAUCACUGAGAGACGGGGCUGCGGCCCAUCAGCUAGUUGGCGCGGUAAAGG